rnacentral:rRNA from 1 species
AACGAACGCUGGCGGCAUGCCUAACACAUGCAAGUCGAACGGGAUCCGGACUUCGGUCCGGUGAGAGUGGCGGACGGGUGAGUAACACGUGGGAACCUGCCUUUUGGUUCGGGAUAACCGCGGGAAACUGCGGCUAAUACCGGAUGCUCCCGAGAGGGAAAAGAUUUAUCGCCAGAAGAGGGGCCCGCGUCCCGGAUUAGGUAGUUGGUGGGGUAGUGGCCUACCAAGCCGACGAUCGGUAGCUGGUCUGAGAGGAUGAUCAGCCACACUGGGACUGAGAUACGGCCCAGACUCCUACGGGAGGCAGCAGUGGGGAAUAUUGGACAAUGGGGGCAACCCUGAUCCAGCAAUGCCGCGUGAGUGAUGAAGGCCUUAGGGUUGUAAAGCUCUUUUGCC